rnacentral:lncRNA from 1 species
GUCUGAGGCUCGGCCGCCUGAGCCGCGGACGGUUUGCUGAGCCCGUUAGUGCGCCCGGCCGAGACACGCCGCCGCCAUGUCCCGCUACCUGCGUCCCCCCAACACGUCUCUGUUCGUCAGGAACGUGGCCGACGACACCAGGUCUGAAGACUUGCGGCGUGAAUUUGGUCGUUAUGGUCCUAUAGUUGAUGUGUAUGUUCCACUUGAUUUCUACACUCGCCGUCCAAGAGGAUUUGCUUAUGUUCAAUAUCCUUUCUUCAGAUGGCUGAUUAGUGAGGGGUGUUGAAGUUUGAAAUUCAAGUUUAUAGAAUGUAAAGCUGUACAGUUAUGGCGACCCCAAAGAGAAAGCAUGAAAGAACCUUUAGAGUAGAGUUCAACACUUAAGGCAAGUAGACAAGCCAAAGACCUCUUAAGGAUCAGGCUUGAAGAGAAGGGAGAGUUUGGGAAAAGAAAAAAUAAAGAAAAGCUGGAAGAAGGACAAGCCUAAUGGGAGACAAAGCCUCGCUUUAUCUACAAAAGGGGGAAAAGGUUGUUUUUCAAAGUUAAAGAUAAAGCCAUCUGUCAUAUUUGGCCAAGCAUCUCAUGACAAGUCCUUCUGACAAGCACUUAAAGAGUUAAAGGUCAAGAUGAAGUUGAAUGAUGGCCAAGAUUAAAGGAGUCAUACCUGAUGUAUCCUACAGAAUAACUAUUUUUCUUUUUUUUUUUUUUAAUGUUUUGUAAGCAGUUAAUUUUCAAAAUUAUUCUGGUUUGGUCUAGUGACAAAACCUGUAACUUGAUUUAUGUGGGCCUU